GUUACAAGAGGGUUUUUAGGAUUGAGUGGCGCAUUAGAAAUAGAGGUCUCUACUCCAAGACAUCAUAACAAUAGCCACACUGAAAUGAGUAUCAGAGAUAAAGAGCUUAAGAUACAUUUCAAACCAGGGCACGUUGAGUUUGUUCAGGAAGUUGUUUGGAUUUUCCUGACUCUUUGGAUCGUUUUUUCCAUUCACACAGACUGAGGAGAGAUGGUAUGCAGCUUCAUGACAUGUGAAGUUUACUUCCGAUGAAGAGCUUCUGGGACACUGACAGACAGCACGUCCCAGCAAGUUCAUCUG